AUAGCAUGUCAGAAGGCAGACCCGGAGAACUGAAACAUCUUAGUACCCGGAGGAAGAGAAAGAAAAAUCGAUUCCCUGAGUAGCGGCGAGCGAAACGGGAAGAGCCCAAACCAACAAGCUUGCUUGUUGGGGUUGUAGGACACUCUAUACGGAGUUACAAAAGAACAUGUUAGACGAAUCAUCUGGAAAGAUGAAUCAAAGAAGGUAAUAAUCCUGUAGUCGAAAACAUAUUCUCUCUUGAGUGGAUCCUGAGUACGACGGAGCACGUGAAAUUCCGUCGGAAUCUGGGAGGACCAUCUCCUAAGGCUAAAUACUCUCUAGUGACCGAUAGUGAACCAGUACCGUGAGGGAAAGGUGAAAAGUACCCCGGAAGGGGAGUGAAAGAGAACUUGAAACCGUGUGCUUACAAGUAGUCAGAGCCCGUUAAUGGGUGAUGGCGUGCCUUUUGUAGAAUGAACCGGCGAGUUACGAUCUGAUGCAAGGUUAAGCAGCAAAUGUGGAGCCGCAGCGAAAGCGAGUCUGAAUAGGGCGUUGAGUAUUUGGUCGUAGACCCGAAACCAGGUGAUCUACCCUUGGUCAGGUUGAAGUUCAGGUAACACUGAAUGGAGGACCGAACCGACUUACGUUGAAAAGUGAGCGGAUGAACUGAGGGUAGCGGAGAAAUUCCAAUCGAACUUGGAGAUAGCUGGUUCUCUCCGAAAUAGCUUUAGGGCUAGCCUCAAGUGAUGAUUAUUGGAGGUAGAGCACUGUUUGGACGAGGGGCCCCUCUCGGGUUACCGAAUUCAGACAAACUCCGAAUGCCAAUUAAUUUAACUUGGGAGUCAGAACAUGGGUGAUAAGGUCCGUGUUCGAAAGGGAAACAGCCCAGACCACCAGCUAAGGUCCCAAAAUAUAUGUUAAGUGGAAAAGGAUGUGGCGUUGCCCAGACAACUAGGAUGUUGGCUUAGAAGCAGCCAUCAUUUAAAGAGUGCGUAAUAGCUCACUAGUCGAGUGACACUGCGCCGAAAAUGUACCGGGGCUAAACAUAUUACCGAAGCUGUGGAUUGUCCUUUGGACAAUGGUAGGAGAGCGUUCUAAGGGCGUCGAAGCAUGAUCGCAAGGACAUGUGGAGCGCUUAGAAGUGAGAAUGCCGGUGUGAGUAGCGAAAGACGGGUGAGAAUCCCGUCCACCGAUUGACUAAGGUUUCCAGAGGAAGGCUCGUCCGCUCUGGGUUAGUCGGGUCCUAAGCUGAGGCCGACAGGCGUAGGCGAUGGAUAACAGGUUGAUAUUCCUGUACCACCUAGUAUCGUUUUAAUCGAUGGGGGGACGCAGUAGGAUAGGCGAAGCGUGCUGUUGGAGUGCACGUCCAAGCAGUAAGGCUGAGUGUUAGGCAAAUCCGGCACUCAUAAGGCUGAGCUGUGAUGGGGAGAGGAAAUUGUUUCCUCGAGUCGUUGAUUUCACACUGCCGAGAAAAGCCUCUAGAUAGAUAACAGGUGCCCGUACCGCAAACCGACACAGGUAGUCAAGAUGAGAAUUCUAAGGUGAGCGAGCGAACUCUCGUUAAGGAACUCGGCAAAAUGACCCCGUAACUUCGGGAGAAGGGGUGCUCUUUAGGGUUUACGCCCAGAAGAGCCGCAGUGAAUAGGCCCAAGCGACUGUUUAUCAAAAACACAGGUCUCUGCUAAACCGUAAGGUGAUGUAUAGGGGCUGACGCCUGCCCGGUGCUGGAAGGUUAAGAGGAGUGGUUAGCUUCUGCGAAGCUACGAAUCGAAGCCCCAGUAAACGGCGGCCGUAACUAUAACGGUCCUAAGGUAGCGAAAUUCCUUGUCGGGUAAGUUCCGACCCGCACGAAAGGCGUAACGAUUUGGGCACUGUCUCAACGAGAGACUCGGUGAAAUCAUAGUACCUGUGAAGAUGCAGGUUACCCGCGACAGGACGGAAAGACCCCGUGGAGCUUUACUGUAGCCUGAUAUUGAAAUUCGGCACAGCUUGUACAGGAUAGGUAGGAGCCUUUGAAACGUGAGCGCUAGCUUACGUGGAGGCGUUGGUGGGAUACUACCCUAGCUGUGUUGGCUUUCUAACCCGCACCACUUAUCGUGGUGGGAGACAGUGUCAGGCGGGCAGUUUGACUGGGGCGGUCGCCUCCUAAAAGGUAACGGAGGCGCUCAAAGGUUCCCUCAGAAUGGUUGGAAAUCAUUCAUAGAGUGUAAAGGCAUAAGGGAGCUUGACUGCGAGACCUACAAGUCGAGCAGGGUCGAAAGACGGACUUAGUGAUCCGGUGGUUCCGCAUGGAAGGGCCAUCGCUCAACGGAUAAAAGCUACCCCGGGGAUAACAGGCUUAUCUCCCCCAAGAGUUCACAUCGACGGGGAGGUUUGGCACCUCGAUGUCGGCUCAUCGCAUCCUGGGGCUGUAGUCGGUCCCAAGGGUUGGGCUGUUCGCCCAUUAAAGCGGUACGCGAGCUGGGUUCAGAACGUCGUGAGACAGUUCGGUCCCUAUCCGUCGUGGGCGUAGGAAAUUUGAGAGGAGCUGUCCUUAGUACGAGAGGACCGGGAUGGACAUACCUCUGGUGUACCAGUUGUCGUGCCAACGGCAUAGCUGGGUAGCUAUGUAUGGACGGGAUAAGUGCUGAAAGCAUCUAAGCAUGAAGCCCCCCUCAAGAUGAGAUUUCCCAACUUCGGUUAUAAGAUCCCUCGAAGAUGACGAGGUUAAUAGGUUCGAGGUGGAAGCGUGGUGACACGUGGAGCUGACGAAUACUAAUCGAUCGAAGACUUAAUCAAUUUUUAAA
rnacentral:rRNA from 1 species